AGACCAUGGUGUGGGCAUUUUCUAAGAAAUUUCUUAAGUCUCUCCCAUGACUCAUGAAUUUAUUCCUCUGAAAGCUGAGCAAAUUCAGUGAUGGCUCACCUCAUGGUGU